CUGGGAAGGCUGCAGGAUCUGUGUGUGAGAGACACGCUUUCUGAUGCAAUACGCCAGAGAAGCAGCACAGCCAGGCCACAUCCAACAUUGCCUAGAGAUGCAGAUGGUGGCAAUGCAGGUUCUUCGGCUAAUCCACCUCCACUAAGGCGCCCAUCACAGGGCUCGUUUACUGUGGCUACGGGGCCACCCAAGAGGCCCCAUCUUGAGGUCCAGCACCAGCAUCACCACCCCAACGGCGCAUCUCCGCAGUGUCGGCCGUGCCACCACUUGCUCUUUUUGCCAGCCCCCAAAGUGAGGAUCCACAAUCCCCUCAGUUGUCUGACCCAGGCAUCAUGACCGAGGAUGUGCAGCAGGACCGUUACCAGGAGACCUUCACACUCAACCUGCAGCCCAUCGAUCCGACACUGUAUUACAUUACAGAACCAACACUUAGACGUAGACGUGUAUGUAUGUGUUAACUCAC